rnacentral:lncRNA from 1 species
AAUUGUUGUUUACAUUAAUUGCAUUAGAGGGUUUUUUUUAGAUUUUUAAAAUUUUUGUAUAAAAUAAAUUUCUAAAAAUUAAAGAAUAUGAUUUUUAAAAAAGAAUUAAGUAUAUUUGGAUUAAAAGAUUCUAAAAUUGAGUAAUUUGAGUAGUUCUUUUUUAUUAUAAAUAGGAAAAAAACUUUAUUGAGUAAAUUUUUGGUUAAUACAAAAUUUUAGUUUAGA